UACGUAGGUGGCAAGCGUUGUUCGGAAUUAUUGGGCGUAAAGGGCGCGUAGGCGGUUUGUUAAGUCGGUUGUGAAAGCCCGGGGCUCAACCCCGGAGGGUCGACCGAUACUGGCAGGCUAGAGUACAGAAGAGGUAGCUGGAAUUCCCGGUGUAGCGGUGAAAUGCGUAGAGAUCCGGAGGAACACCAGUGGCGAAGGCGGCCGCCUGGACCUGACCUGACGCUGAGGCGCGGAAGGCGCGGGGAGCGAACGGG
rnacentral:rRNA from 1 species